rnacentral:sRNA from 1 species
UAGCUGAAAAUUUUCUAACGCCGUGUGC